GACGAACGCUGGCGGCGUGCUUAACACAUGCAAGUCGAACGGAAAGGCCCUGCUUGCAGGGUACUCGAGUGGCGAACGGGUGAGUAACACGUGGGUGAUCUGCCCUGCACUUCGGGAUAAGCUUGGGAAACUGGGUCUAAUACCGGAUAGGAGCCAUCUUUAGUGUGGUGGUUGGAAAGUUUUUUCGGUGUAGGAUGAGCUCGCGGCCUAUCAGCUUGUUGGUGGGGUAAUAGCCUACCAAGGCGGCGACGGGUAGCCGGCCUGAGAGGGUGUACGGCCACAUUGGGACUGAGAGGCGGCCCAGACUCCUACGGGAGGCAGCAGGGGGGAAUAUUGCACAAUGCGCGGAAGCCUGAUGCAGCGAGGCCGCGUGGGCGAUGAAGGCCGUCGGGUUGUAAACUCCUUUCGCUAGGGACGAAGCUUUGUUGUGACGGUACCUAGACAAGAAGCAACGGCUAACUACGUG
rnacentral:rRNA from 1 species